CUUGAAGACCAUGAUCAUUUGGGGAUAGGCAUGAUCAUAUCUUAUCCCUUUGUAUCUUUUUGAAAUAAAGAAAAAUCAAGGAAAAUAAAAGAGGAAUGGAAACUUACCUUAAUAUUGUUUGGGGAGACUUUAUGAGAGGAUUUGUGAUAAAGGGGCUAAGAAAGGAGAGAAGAGCCAUUGCUCUUGUGUGUGUGUGUGGCUGCCGUGACCUAGAGAGAGAGAGAGAGAGAGAGAGUGGCGUGUAGAGAGAGAGAGAGAGAGAGAGAGAAAGAAAGAAAGAAAGGAAGAAGGAAGAAGAAAGUGAAGAGGAACCCCCCUAGAGCUUGAACAAGGGUGUGGAGUUUGUGGUAUUGAUCUUUUGUGUUCUUGAUUCUACAAUCAAGAGAGGUAGCAAAUAGGAUUUCUCUAUGGCACGCGUGGUGACGUGAGGAGUUCUUCAUCAUGGGGUGUAUGGCGUGGGGCAAUCCUAUGGACGAUAAAACGAUCAACGUAGAACGCCAUUUAAAUUAUGUUUUGUUUUAAGGGACUUUUCCUAAAUUAUCAGUGGGACUCUGUUAUUUAACUUAAUUGGUUUUCUUUGAACUUUGCAUAAAAACCUAUGUUUUA